GACCGAACAAUGAGCAUCUCCUUGGAGGCACAAACCCACCCUCUAGUCCUAGGAAUCCACCCUACCCCACUCCCACGGCUGUCCUCUACCCUUCCCAUUUUUCCUUAGUUUUUAUCCGAAAGUAAAUAAAAAUCCCUCCUUCCUACCAUCAAGCAGAAAAAAACCAGCUGCAAAGAUCACACCUUUUUCAUAAGCCCGAACUUCUCAACAACAACAGCAGCAUCAACCUGAAACUCCAACACAAAGCCAGCUCUCAGCAGUAGCCAUUCCACUCUAAAGAGACCCCAAACUCCCACUGAAAUCAGCCACAAAACCUAGAAAAAUAGUCCCAAAAAGUCACUGAAAGCUCCCUCCCAACAGCAGCAAAAAAAAACCUCCAAAACAAAACCAAAAGCACAUAAAAGCUCCAUCCUUUCUAUCAUCAAGCUAAAGAACUCAACAAAUGUGUCUCCUCUCUCAACAACAACAACAAGCGGGCAGCAAGACAUGGAAGCAAAAAUAAGAAAAAAAUGUGGAAACAGAGCAGAGAAGAUAAAAGAAGAAGAAGCAGAAUGGAACAGAAACGACCCACCACAAAGAAGGGAGAACAAGGAGAAGCAGAGCAAAUGGCAAAAAACACAAAACCAAAAUGAGUAACAUCUAUUCCCUUCUCACCUUUCAUAGAAUGUCUUCAAUACAUGUUGGUUUUAUGCUUAUGAUUAUAUACAGUUAGUUCACAUGCCUAAAACAGAACACACACACAUUCAAAACACACAAAUCCCAGGUCAAAACACAAGAGACAUCCAAGUUCAUUUCAACAGCAAUCUAGACUCUAGAGUCUUAAAGUCUAGACCAUAUCAAGAAUACACUCUUCAAAACCCAUUUGUCCUAGUCUCUACCAAAAACCCACAGCCAAAAAUCCCAUCUUUUGAAACCUCAAACCCAAAAAAUCAGAAAAUGGCCACACAAAUCUAACAAAAUCACCAAGCCCACAAACUAAACAAAAAAGAGAAAUAGAGAGAAAUUAGAGUGUAAAAGGAGAGAGCUUCUUUGAGCAGAAAAAUAAAAGAAAAUAAGGCCCGUUUGGCUGAGAUUUUAACCAACCCAUUUUCAGUUUUUUAAACAUUACACACAUUUAUUUUUGCACUCACGUAUCUCAAAAAACUAAAAAAAAAAAAAAUUGCUCAAACUUUUCGAUUAAACGGCCCUAAGAGUUUGAUGAUAGGGUGUGAGGUGUCAGUUUCAUUGAUGCGCUAUAUAUCCCUUAGGCUCUGAUUGGUGGAGAUAGAUUUCAUUAGGAUAAGGUGGGUCAGGCAAACCCAAUUUUAGGCCCAGGUCUAAAUUUCGCUAAUACCAAACUGGAAUCCAAGGCCCGAAAUUCUCUUAAGAUAAAUUAAACUCAAGCCCAAAUUCAAUAAAUCCAAACAAAACAAGCCUUAUCUUAGGUCCGAAAAUACAUAAGCCCAUUCACAUUAAAGCUUUUCCAAAAUACUCUGUCCCCAAAACUCUCCAAAAUUGCAUUCUAACCCCAAAACUUUUGCAAGUUUCCCUUUUAAACGUCCAAUUUGACAAAAUUUCAUUUUGAACCCCAAAAUUUUCCCAAAUUACCUUUCACCCCUAAACUUCCUAAAAUUUCAUUUUAACCCUAAAACCUCAAAAAAUUGCACAAAGACCCCGAGGCCACAAAAAUGAUUUUUCUACUUUGCCAAAAAAAAAAAAAAAAAAUUUAUUCAAGAUCAAUAAUUUGUCAAAUGACAUUAUUUUCACAUCUUUUAUAAGUAUUUGACAUUAGUAUUUUUUGUUGUUUCCUUGUGUCCCAUUUUGCAUGAGAUGAAAUAUUUUGGAGAAAAAGAAUUGCAAAAUUGCAAUGCUAAGGAGUGAAUGCACUACACGCUGACUAUGAGAGGAUGGCCCAAGAAGUAUUGGACCAUGUCAUGGUUAACUGAACUACAAUUAUGGUGGCACAUGGAUUAUCCGCAAAGUAGAGAAAGAAAAACAUGGUACUUUGAUUGAAAACAAGUGCCACUUCUAUGCCUCCUUAGUAGGGGCACUUCGCACAAGUGCUAAUUCAAUUGCCUGAUGGUAAUUUUAUUAUUAUUUACGCUUCAAGUUACGGGCUUGGUUUAAGAACAUUAUGGAAGUGACAAUUUGUAUUUGUAAGCUUUUGUAUACCUAAGAACAUUAAUGUGUAAAGAGGUUUGAGCACCCUGUAUAUGACUUUGAACCUAAUUUAUAAAUAAAUACUAUAAAAUUGAAGCCUUUUAACUUUU